CAAAGAUUAAGCCAUGCAUGUCUAAGUACANCCUUCCUAGUGUGAANCCGCAAACGGGUCAUUAAAUCAGUCAUAAUCUUUAGGAGGAAGGUUGACCGUUACUCGGAUAACUGUGGCAAUUCUAGAGCUAAUACGUGCACGAAGCUUUGAGGCCCCGCUCUCGCGGCGGGGGGUUCGCCCUCCCGCCCUUGGGUGAAGGUCGAGGAGCGCCAUUAUUAGACCGCUUAACCGAGCGUCCCCAGGGGCGACUAUGGUUGUGGUGACUCUGGAUAAUGAGCCGAGCGCUGAGGCCAUCGAGCCGGCGCCACAUCCUUUGAGAGACUGCCUUAUCAGCUAAACCGUUGGGUAAACGCCUACGGUGGCUUUAACGGGUAACGGGGAAUCUGGGUUCGAUUCCGGAGAGGGAGCCUGAGAAACGGCUACCACAUCUAAGGAAGGCAGCAGGCACGCAAAUUACCCACUCCCGGCACGGGGAGGUAGUGACGAUAAAUAACGAUGCGGGACUCUUCCGAGGCCUCGCAAUCGGAAUGAGUUUACCCUAAAUCCUUAAGCGAGGAUCCAUUGGAGGGCAAGUCUGGUGCCAGCAGCCGCGGUAAUUCCAGCUCCAAUAGCGUAUAUUAAAUUUGCUGCGGUUAAAAAGCUCGUAGUUGGAGAUUGAGCUCGCGUCGUGGGUGCGCCCGCGGACCGGCCUCGAACCCUCCCUUCCGAUCGAGUGACCUCCAGACGACGGGGAGCGAGGCCUCUCCCGUCGGGGCCUGUUUGGGUUUGGAAGUGCUAUGCCUAAAACAGCCUCGGCGGUGAUGCUUCGCCCCCGCGUUGGAACGGCCUCGUAACACGGGAGGCUAGAGUGCCCGGGCCUGGGUGCGCUCCGCGGCCGCGGGCAUGUAAAAGCAAGGCCGACGCUAACGGGAUGCUCUUCACCGAGUGUCCCGCGCGGUCGGUGACGUUCACUUUGAAAAAAUUAGAGUGCUCAAAGCAGGCAAACAAAGAAAGCCUGAAUGUUAAUGCAUGGAAUGAUGGAACAUGACCUCGGUUCGGGACCUAAAAAGUCUUGGUUCUCGGUUUCCCAUGAACCUGAGGUAAUGAUUAACAGAGACGGCCGGGGGCAUUAGUAUUGCGGCGCGAGAGGUGAAAUUCUUGGACCGUCGCAAGACUACCUACUGCGAAAGCAUUUGCCAAGAACGCUUUCAUUAAUCAAGAACGAAAGUUAGAGGAUCGAAGGCGAUCAGAUACCGCCCUAGUUCUAACCUUAAACGAUGCUGACUAGCUAUCCGCUUAAGUCAUUCCAAGGACUGAGCGGGACGCCCCCGGGAAACCCAAGUGGAGUUCCGGGGGUAGUAUGGUUGCAAAGCUGAAACUUAAAGGAAUUGACGGAAGGGCACCACCAGGAGUGGAGCCUGCGGCUUAAUUUGACUCAACACGGGGAAACUUACCAGGUCCAGAUACCGAAAGGAUUGACAGACUAAAGAUUUUACCUAAUACGGUGGUUGGUGGUGCAUGGCCGUUCUUAGUUGGUGGAGCGAUUUGUCUGGUCAAUUCCGAUAACGAACGAAACUCUAACGUAYUAACUAGGUCGGKGGAUCGUUACCCGSCCGGNUGAUGGYUUACGCGGCCAYUUCCGACGUGGUGGGGGGGCCAAGUCCUGAUGUUCAUUCCGGGUUAACACUUGNCUCUCCCUAARCGAUUGNUCUGUGCCCGAGCGGGGCCUYUCCGGUCGGCCGUCCACCSCACUCUUCUUAGAGGGAUCAACGGUUUCCANCCGUGAAGAGAGAGAGCAAUAACAGGUCUGUGAUGCCCUUAGAUGUCCUGGGCCGCACNCGCGCUACAAUGNCGGGRUGCAGCGUGUUUCGUCUCCCNAGAGGANCAAUGGNAUCUGGUUAAACCCUUUCCCGAUUGGGAUUGGGGWCUGUAAUCGUCCCCAUGAACGAGGAAUUCCUAGUAAGCGCAGAUCAUCAUGUCUGCGAUGAUUACGUCCCUGCCCUUUGUACACACCGCCCGUCSCUANUACNKAUUGAAUGAUCCMGUGAKGGAGUUGRACCUGGMRAMCUGGGUCGGCUCGCGCCUUUGGCAUUGACGNCGCGGCCGCCUUUGAUCUGACCCAGGAASACUUCCCAAAMCUKGRAUCAUUUAGAGKAAGUAAAAGUCGUAACAAGGUUUCCGUAAGUGAACCUGGNNAAAAGAACAAA
rnacentral:rRNA from 1 species